rnacentral:rRNA from 1 species
UUCCAAAAAGAACAACCGGGAUUGCCCUAGUAACGGCGAGUGAAGCGGCAACAGCUCAAAUUUGAAAUCUGGCUUCGGCCCGAGUUGUAAUUUGUAGAGGAAGCUUUUGGUGAGGCACCUUCUGAGUCCCCUGGAACGGGGCGCCAUAGAGGGUGAGAGCCCCGUAUAGUCGGAUGCCGAUCCAAUGUAAAGCUCCUUCGACGAGUCGAGUAGUUUGGGAAUGCUGCUCAAAAUGGGAGGUAAAUUUCUUCUAAAGCUAAAUACCGGCCAGAGACCGAUAGCGCACAAGUAGAGUGAUCGAAAGAUGAAAAGCACUUUGAAAAGAGGGUUAAAUAGCACGUGAAAUUGUUGAAAGGGAAGCGUUUGUGACCAGACUUGCGCCGUUCCGAUCAUCCGGUGUUCUCACCGGUGCACUCGGGGCGGCUCAGGCCAGCAUCGGUUUUGGCGGGGGGAUAAAGGUUCGGGGAACGUAGCUCCUUCGGGAGUGUUAUAGCCCCGGGCGUAAUGCCCUCGCCGGGACCGAGGUUCGCGCAUCUGCAAGGAUGCUGGCGUAAUGGUCAUCAACGACCCGUCUUGAAACACGGACCAAGGAGUCAAGGUUUUGCGCGAGUGUUUGGGUGUAAAACCCGCACGCGUAAUGAAAGUGAACGUAGGUGAGAGCUUCGGCGCAUCAUCGACCGAUCCUGAUGUAUUCGGAUGGAUUUGAGUAAGAGCGUUAAGCCUUGGACCCGAAAGAUGGUGAACUAUGCUUGGAUAGGGUGAAGCCAGAGGAAACUCUGGUGGAGGCUCGCAGCGGUUCUGACGUGCAAAUCGAUCGUCAAAUCUGAGCAUGGGGGCGAAAGACUAAUCGAACCAUCUAGUAGCUGGUUACCGCCUAAGUUCCCUCAGGAAUA